rnacentral:rRNA from 1 species
GACGAACGCUGGCGGCGUGCCUAAUACAUGCAAGUCGAACGCAGUGGGGACGGGUGAGUAACACGUGGGUAACCUCCCAUCAGAGGGGAUAACACUUGGAAACAGGUGCUAAACCGAUACUGAUGGAUGGACUCGCGGUGCAUUAGCUAGUUGGUGGGGUAACGGCUCACCAAGGCCACGAUGCAUAGCGGGCCUGAGAGGGUGAUCGGCCACACUGGGACUGAGACACGGCCCAGACUCCUACGGGAGGCAGCAGUGGGGAAUGUUCGACAAGGGGCGCAAGUCUGACCGAGCAACGCCGCGUGGGUGAAGAAGGUUUUCGGAUCGUAAAACACUGUUGUUGGAGAAGCGGUACCUAACCAGAAAGCCACGGCUAACUACGUGCCAGCAGCCGCGGUAAUAC